GGGUCAGUAGGUUGGUCGUGCCACCGGUACGUACUGGUCUCACUGAUUCCUCCUUCCUGAAGAACCGUAAUGCCAUUAAUUUGGUGUUGCGGGGAAACAGGACUGUUACUUUGAAAAAAUUAGAGUGUUUAAAGCAAGCUAACGCUUGAAUACAUUAGCAUGGAAUAAUGAAAUAGGACGAUCGAUCAUAUUUUCUUGGUUUCUAGGAUUGACGUA
rnacentral:rRNA from 1 species